CGUACACUCCUACGGGAGGCAGCAGUGGGGAAUAUUGGACAAUGGGCGCAAGCCUGAUCCAGCCAUGCCGCGUGAGUGAUGAAGGCCCUAGGGUUGUAAAGCUCUUUCACCGGUGAAGAUAAUGACGGUAACCGGAGAAGAAGCCCCGGCUAACUUCGUGCCAGCAGCCGCGGUAAUACGAAGGGGGCUAGCGUUGUUCGGAUUUACUGGGCGUAAAGCGCACGUAGGCGGACUAUUAAGUCAGGGGUGAAAUCCCGGGGCUCAACCCCGGAACUGCCUUUGAUACUGGUAGUCUUGAGUUCGAGAGAGGUGAGUGGAAUUCCGAGUGUAGAGGUGAAAUUCGUAGAUAUUCGGAGGAACACCAGUGGCGAAGGCGGCUCACUGGCUCGAUACUGACGCUGAGGUGCGAAAGCGUGGGGAGCAAACAGGAUUAGAAACCCGAGUAGUCC
rnacentral:rRNA from 1 species